rnacentral:rRNA from 2 species
GAGUUUGAUCUUGGCUCAGAUUGAACGCUGGCGGCAUGCCUUACACAUGCAAGUCGAACGGCAGCACGGGAGCUUGCUCCUGGUGGGCGAGUGGCGAACGGGUGAGUAAUGCAUCGGAACGUAUCCUGGAGUGGGGGAUAACGUAGCGAAAGUUACGCUAAUACCGCAUAUUCUGUGAGCAGGAAAGCGGGGGACCUUCGGGCCUCGCGCUCUUGGAGCGGCCGAUGUCGGAUUAGCUAGUUGGUGAGGUAAAGGCUCACCAAGGCGACGAUCCGUAGCAGGUCUGAGAGGAUGAUCUGCCACACUGGAACUGAGACACGGUCCAGACUCCUACGGGAGGCAGCAGUGGGGAAUUUUGGACAAUGGGGGCAACCCUGAUCCAGCCAUGCCGCGUGAGUGAAGAAGGCCUCGG